GGGGCGGGGGGAAGAGCGAGAAGGGAGAGUGAAAGAAGAGGAUAGAGAUUUUCUUUCUACUUCAAAAUACAUCUUUCCAGUCACUUUGGUCCCCUGGUUUGUGAUGCAGAGUCCUUCAUUCAGUUUCCAGUGCAACCCUUUCUGAUGAAUUCACCCCAGAGUCACUUUUACUAUCAUGGGAUCCAUCAUAUUAAAAUGGCACUUAGGAGCUGGGUGAGGCAGUGAGGAGGAGGACAAUGGAAAGACUGAGCAGCAAGAAGAGAGGAGGGUGAGGUGUGAACCCACAUGGCUGAGGGGAAAAAGUUAACUGAACUGCCUUGGAAAUAGGCUCCACAUAUUUUUGGAUCAAGCCUUAGUGUUCUAUCUCGUGUGUUUGACAGAUAGAGCGGAUUAUGUUUUAACUUUUCUUCCUCUACAUGACAAAGUUAUUUUGAGGAAUAAUCAUGAAAUGAAACAAAUAAUUAAUGGCCAGGAAACUUUAAAUGGUGAACAUUUUCUUUUACUGACCCUUAUAUGGUCAUGUCAGUAAAAAUAAAUAAAUGAAAAUAAACAUGCCAUUUCAGAUUAGGAAAAGAGAGUGAAUUUUUUUCAUUGACCUUUCCAUAUACAAUCAUACCACUGCAAAAGUUUUUAAAAAUAAAAAGUAAAAUGAAUAGAGUAGUACCAAAUAGGGUAGUGAAAAGGUAAUAAAUUCUUAUUAAAUAUAUUAAUAUAUAUUUUUAAAAGACAUAGGAAAACUUACUUCAUAUUGUGUCCGGAAUUGGUGGCUUCUUGGUCUCACUGACUUCAAGAAUGAAGCCGCGAACCCUGGUGUUUGGGCACAGAACUGACAUCCCUUUGCUCCAGUCUUCCAAACCCUGGCCACGUGAACUAAGCCAUCUGAUUGCUGGGUAUAUCAGCAUCUAGAUUGUGCAAAAUUAUCUGAACUUAUUUUCGUUCCUGCUGAUGCAAGUGCCUGGUGGGUCAAAUCCGGAGCCGGAUGCAUGACAAGAUCCCCUGCCACUCAGCUACUUAUACAACUCUUCUCUCCACAAAUACUAAUUCAGCUUUUAAUUUGAAACUGUUAGGGAAGUUUCAGACAGGGAAAAUAAAGGAGUUAAAAGUAUGCCUGCAGCUCUAAAAUAUGUCAAAUUAGUGUAUUGAUUACUUCAAGCUCAAAGUACUUUGGAAACUGUAGUUCCAGAAGUAACUAUCUGACCUGGCUUUUCCUGCAUAUAGCAAGCCAUAAAACUUCCAUGGAGAAAGAUGCCUUCCCUGUGCCGGGACAAGAAAAUAACCCUAUCCCCAGGAUUGGAAAUUGUUGCUUCAGUAGACCUGUACAAAUAAACUAAAGUAACUCUUA